rfam:Drosophila simulans chrT_M_2779 genomic scaffold, whole genome shotgun sequence.
CAAACUAAUACCAGGCCGGAGUAACAGUCGGAGGAAGUGAAGACUCUGAUAGAGUAACAGUACGGAACUGCUAGAGUUAGCCGAUGACCUGAUAUCGUUUGGAAAUCAUCAUUAAAUGUAAUAUUAAUAUAUUUUAGGAUAAUGUGCAUUUUUCCAUUUAAGGACAUGUAAUCUAUUAGCAUAUCCCAAAUUAUCAUAAAAUAUAACUUAUAGUUUAUUCCAAUUAAAUUGCUUGCAUUUAACACAGAAUAAAUGUUAUUAAUUUGAUAAAGUGCUGAUAGAUUUAUAUUAUUACAGAGCGUUAAUUUUUCGGAAUUAUAUAAUGGCAUAAUUAUCAUUGAUUUUUGUGUUUAUUAUAUGCUCUUGUAUGAUUAACAAUGCGAAAGAUUCAGGAUACCUUCGGGACCCGUCUUGAAACACGGACCAAGGAGUCUAACAUAUGUGCAAGUUAUUGGGAUGUAAACCUAAUAGCGUAAUUAACUUGACUAAUAAUGGGAUUAGUUUUUUAGCUAUUUAUAGCUAAUUAACACAAUCCCGGGGCGUUCUAUAUAGUUAUGUAUAAUGUAUAUUUAUAUUAUUUAUGCCUCUAACUGGAACGUACCUUGAGCAUAUAUGCUGUGACCCGAAAGAUGGUGAACUAUACUUGAUCAGGUUGAAGUCAGGGGAAACCCUGAUGGAAGACCGAAACAGUUCUGACGUGCAAAUCGAUUGUCAGAAUUGAGUAUAGGGGCGAAAGACCAAUCGAACCAUCUAGUAGCUGGUUCCUUCCGAAGUUUCCCUCAGGAUAGCUGGUGCAUUUUAAUAUUAUAUAAAAUAAUCUUAUCUGGUAAAGCGAAUGAUUAGAGGCCUUAGGGUCGAAACGAUCUUAACCUAUUCUCAAACUUUAAAUGGGUAAGAACCUUAACUUUCUUGAUAUGAAGUUCAAGGUUAUGAUAUAAUGUGCCCAGUGGGCCACUUUUGGUAAGCAGAACUGGCGCUGUGGGAUGAACCAAACGUAAUGUUACGGUGCCCAAAUUAACAACUCAUGCAGAUACCAUGAAAGGCCCUUUUACGUUUAAACAGCAGGACGGUGAUCAUAGAAGUCGAAAUCCGC